AGCGAACGCUGGCGGCAGGCCUAACACAUGCAAGUCGAACGAACCCUUCGGGGUUAGUGGCGGACGGGUGAGUAACACGUGGGAACGUACCUUUAGGUUCGGAACAACACAGGGGAAACUUGAGCUAAUGCCGAAUGUGCCCUUCGGGGGAAAGAUUUAUCGCCUUUAGAGCGGCCCGCGUCUGAUUAGCUUGUUGGUGAGGUAAGGGCUCACCAAGGCUUCGAUCAGUAGCUGGUCUGAGAGGAUGAUCAGCCACACUGGGACUGAGACACGGCCCAGACUCCUACGGGAGGCAGCAGUGGGGAAUCUUGCGCAAUGGGCGAAAGCCUGACGCAGCCAUGCCGCGUGAAUGAUGAAGGUCUUAGGAUCGUAAAAUCUUUCACCGGGGAAGAUAAUGACGGUACCCGGAGAAGAAGCCCCGGCUAACUUCGUGCCAGCAGCCGCGGUAAU
rnacentral:rRNA from 1 species